rnacentral:rRNA from 1 species
CCAUCCUGCCCAGUGACAAAGUUCAACGGCCACGGUAUCCUAACCGUGCGAAGGUAGCAUAAUCACUUGUUCUUUAAAUGGGGACUUGUAUCAACGGCACCACGAGGGUUAUACUGUCUCCUUUUUCUAAUCAGUGAAACUAAUCUCCCCGUGAAGAAGCGGGGAUAAUUUUAUAAGACGAGAAGACCCCAUGGAGCUUCAAACCCAACUACACCCCUAACCCCCACAACCUCCGAACUCAUAGGGCCCUGUAUCGUUGGUUUUAGGUUGGGGCGACCACGGAGUACAACAAAACCUCCACAAUGAACGGGACUACUCCCUCAUCUAAGGGCCACACCCCUAAGAAUUAAAACAUUAACAUAAAGUGAUCCAUUUUUGAUCAAUGAACCAAGUUACCCUGGGGAUAACAGCGCAAUCCAUUUCAAGAGCCCCUAUCGACAAAUGGGUUUACGACCUCGAUGUUGGAUCAGGGUAUCCUAGUGGUGCAGCAGCUACUAACGGUUCGUUUGUUCAACGAUCAAAACCCU